GUUGAUACAUAUGGAAUGGUUGGCAUAGUUAACCGUUCUCUAUUUCUUUUUACUCAAAUAAUUAAAAAAAUAAUUUUGUAUUAUAGAUGAUAUAGAAAGGUCAUCUUGACAACCGUUUUGUAUUAUAUUAAUUUUUUUUAAUUAGGAGGAAAUUAUAUACCUACAUACGGAGUAAUAAUUUACCUAAAUUAUCAAAGGCUGCUAAAGGUGAAAAUUGAAGCGCGCAUCAAUUUCACUUUCAUCAAAAACUGAAACCUCUUUCUCAUUCAUCAGCCAAAAAAAAAAGUGAAACCUCCAUCAAACCUCCAUUAAAAAACCUUCAUCAGCCGCUUACUGUUCAACAACACCGCCGCUCUACCGCCGCUCCACGUCUGCAGUACCGGACCUGUGUGCUGAGCCACCAGUAAAUUGAGAACAUCUACCACAGCACACACACCACACUCCUUAUUUAUCUAAAUUGGCUUGUCACUUCCUCGUGAUAGAGAUGGUGACUGUGGUAGUGAAGGAGAUGGAGAUGGUUUGGGCUGUGCUGGCGCCACUUCUGCGUGAUGGAAAGGGGGCCGCUGUGUAGGUGGCUGAUAUGGUGCUUGGGUCUCUUGGCUGGGACGUGGAGCAACAGGUGCUUGCUGAGGUGGUAAUAGGCUGAUAUGGUGCUUGGGCCACUUGGCUGGAAUUGUGUACUAAUAUCUACUACUCUGCUUGCUGCAUUUUGUCAAAAAAUAAAAAAGAUAUACAUAUUUAUAUUUAAUUAGAUGAACUUAUUUCAUAUUAUUAACAAAUAUGUAUGUAUUUUACAUUGUUUUGUAGUAUUUUAAGCAAGUUCCUCCAACAUAUUCUCAACAAAUGAUCGACGAGCUUAGGGAAAGGUGAAUUUCAUAUGUUACCGGAUACCAUCAACCAAAUGACAACGACAAUGAUUUAUGUGAAUUGUAGAUCAAUAUGGUAUUGGUAUAUCUAAGCAUAAUUUUUUUUUUUAAAUCAACAUUAAUUAGAAAGGUGUUUUGAUAUUUAACUCACGUAUUUGUUUAUAUAGAACAAAUUUUGUAUGAAUGAUUAAAUUUAAUUGUGGUUGGAUGUUUUAAAUUAUAUAUAUGAAGUAUA